rnacentral:rRNA from 1 species
UGGGGAAUAUUGCACAAUGGGCGCAAGCCUGAUGCAGCCAUGCCGCGUGUAUGAAGAAGGCCUUCGGGUUGUAAAGUACUUUCAGCGGGGAGGAAGGGAGUAAAGUUAAUACCUUUGCUCAUUGACGUUACCCGCAGAAGAAGCACCGGCUAACUCCGUGCCAGCAGCCGCGGUAAUACGGAGGGUGCAAGCGUUAAUCGGAAUUACUGUGCGUAAAGCGCACGCAGGCGGUUUGUUAAGUCAGAUGUGAAAUCCCCGGGCUCAACCUGGGAACUGCAUCUGAUACUGGCAAGCUUGAGUCUCGUAGAGGGUGGUAGAAUUCCAGGUGUAGCGGUGAAAUGCGUAGAGAUCUGGAGGAAUACCGGUGGCGAAGGCGGCCCCCUGGACGAAGACUGACGCUCAGGUGCGAAAGCGUGGGGAGCAAACAGG